rnacentral:lncRNA from 1 species
CACUAGGCCCUGCCAUGCCGGCAGCCCCGCCCCCACCUUUCAUUCAUUACUGGCUGCUGGGAGCUUUCAGGUUUCUCCACUGUGAGGAAGAUCUUAUGUUUUCAACAAAAGAAGAGGCUUAUGUGCUCCACCCGCCUUGGCCUCUCAAAGUGCUGGGAUUACAGGCGUGACCCACUGCAGUCGGACAGGUAAGCACUUUUAAUUAAUUAUGUACUAGGUGCAUAGCUCCAGACAAAGAACAAUGCCUAGAAUUAGACUUCUGCUUAUGUAGAAGGAUCAAGUAUAAGGGCAUGAAUUUGUAGACAACUAAAGCAAGUAUCAGAAGAAAAAUUUUAACUUAAAUGAUCUGCCAGGGGCACUGAUUAAUUCGAAACAAAUUUCUAAAUUUUGGAGACAUUUUUAUUUUAUCUGUUAUCUUAAAACUAUCUAUAUAUAGCUAUAUAUAGGAUAUAUAUAUAUGAUAGGGCCUCACUCUCGCCCAGGCUGGAGUGAUUUAUGUAAUCUUUCUCAUCCUCGGUUUAUCUAAAAAAUAUGAAUAAUAACACAAAUUUUAUAAACUUGCUCUAAAGAUUAAAUGAGGGAAAUAUAAUACUGCUCCUUCCAUAUAUUGAAUGCUUACAAAAUUACAGGCAUUGUGUCUAGAUUUUUACAUAUGUACCAUACGUAAGCCUCAUAACAAGCCCAUUUUUAAAGGUGAGAAAACUGAGACUCAGAUGAGCUAAAAACACAUUCACGAUCAUGUAGUAAUAAGCGAUGGAACUGGGAUUCAAUCCAGUUCUGUCUGACUCCAAAGGUGGUGCAUCAUCUUAACGAAGACCAAGUUAUACCCAGCACAUGAAGGUACUCAAAAGAUGUGGAUUCCCUUUUACUAUCCCCUUAUGUGUGAAUUUCAGUGGCUUUCACAACCUCAGAACAACCCCACACACCCUCCCAGGUUGCCUUUCAGUGGUUCCAUUCUUCCUGGGGAUGAUUAGGAAUCUGCAUAUUUAGACUACUUCUUCAAUCAUCUCCUUACAAACAUGUGUGGAUAAAGAAAUGAAAUUUUCUAGGCCGUAGGUUACUAACUGUGAAUUAAUUGUCUAGUUUAUUUAUUGCAAAUUUAUUUGCAAUACAUUUAUUAUAUGAAAAAAAAUCACACUGUCUACUGAAUUUGUGCAGAAAGAUCCCAAAGUACACUGCAGGAACAUCUUACUGACUACACAGGAAGGCUAGCCCAAACACACAAAGCCAGAGUCCCUCCAAAGGUCAGGUGUGGGGUGGUUCUUUCCUGUAAUCCUAGCAAUUUGGAAGGCCAAAGUGAGUGAAUCACUUAGGGCCAGGAAUUCGAGUCCAGGCUGGCCAACACAGUGAGAGCCAGUCUGCAUAAAAAAUUACUUUUUAUUAGUAUAAUUAAAAAGAGUACCUCUAACAUUGCUUUAGGAUAGAGAGCUCUGGUCUAGAAUUCAAGAUAUGGAGUUACGAGUCCCAGUGUGGUUACUUAACUACUGUUGUGACUGUGGGCAGGUUAUAUAAUCACUGUGAUUCUCAGCCCUUUCUUUGCAAAUAACCAGCAUUGGAAUAGAUGACUUUUUAAAGCCCUGACCAGCUCUACCAUUCAAUGAUUCUGUAUCAGUGGAUACUUGUCAAAACCAUAAUUUACUUGUCUAGUGAUGCCCUGAGGUGUUCCUGUGGUCACAGGAAAUGUGGAAAUAAUAUAGUCAUAUUGGUCAUAGGAAUUAUGACCAUAUGGUCAAAUAUGGUCGUAGGAAAUAAAUUUGGCUUUGCUUUUAAAAUGGGUGAUUUAACCACAUGGAAUCUAUGACUAUUUUGAGAAACAACAUGAGACAGUCAAUGUGAUGCAGCCUGAUGUGGUCCCAAAGCGUUUCUGCAGGAUAAGAAACUCACUCACAAAAGCAUUCACUUCCCCGUGAAUAUACCAGUGAAUCCUCUAGCCACAAAAACUUACAGUCCAUAUAUGUUGUAAUGUCUAAUACUUGUGUGAAUUACUGCAUUCAUAACGCACUCCUUGAAAGGGUAUGGCCUGCUUCCCAAAGUCCUUGGUACUGGAAGCCCAACUUCCAUUCAGUAACUGGAAAGCCCUCUCCCACCUUCUCCCAUUUCCUUCCAUGACUGCUGGAUUAUGAAGGAACUGAAAACCACAAUAAGUGAGGACUGGUUAAAGAAACAAGUGAUGUUUAUCCUGAGAAUGACUGACAACAUUUCAGUGAAAAAAUGAGAGUAGUAUUUGAAUAACUGAAGGUCUACCGCAGAAGAGGGUUUCAGCUGGAUGUGUUCUGCAGACUCCUAGGAUCCACGGCAUGGAACCAUGCACCUCCUUGCACUGUCACUCAGCUACUCAGAACAUCUCUUGAACAUCUCUUGAACAAUUCUGUUGUUG